rnacentral:rRNA from 1 species
CGCGUAGGCGGUUUCGUAAGUCCCGUGUGAAAGCCCCCGGCUCAACUGGGGAACGGCACGGGAAACUGCGAGGCUUGAGUUCGGGAGAGGGAAGCGGAAUUCCGGGUGUAGCGGUGAAAUGCGUAGAUAUCCGGAGGAACACCAGUGGCGAAGGCGGCUUCCUGGACCGAUACUGACGCUGAGGCGCGAAAGCUAGGGGAGCAAACG